rnacentral:rRNA from 1 species
AUGAAAAGGAUAUCUUGUGUUUCGAGUAAAGCAGCUGAGGUAGAUUACCUGUGCAUACAAAGGAUAUUGAACGAUGUUAGUCCAGACUGUUGGAAAAAGAAGAGAACAGCGGCUAGCAACCGGAACCGGAAUGCAGAAAUUGAUAGAACAGUAGCUGCGAGAUCCAACACAGUUUCUCCAAGUGAUGCUGAUCUUAUUCUUAGCAGAAAUUUUCUGCUAAACCGGCGGUUGCUAGAUACAAAAAACAGACUUCAGCAACAAAUCCAGCACGUAUUGUACAUUGUCGAUCGAGGGCAGGGGCACGAGCACAGAGGAAGAAAAAGUUGGGAGAAAAUAAGUUCACCAACUGUCUACGGCUAA